rnacentral:ncRNA from 1 species
GAUAGAGGCGCGGUUAUCAAGAGUAGCUCACGGAGAAGCACCGGGAAGUGCGGGAGCGAAAGGGGUCGCCGCCGAAGGGUAUCCGUUUCCCGAACGGAUAUGCCUGGGCCGUCGGAGAAGAUCCGCCGGACUGUCGCAAGGGCUUUGCCCACGCGGAGAGCUGUCUG